AGAGUUUGAUCAUGGCUCAGAUUGAACGCUGGCGGAAUGCUUUACACAUGCAAGUCGAACGGCAGCACGAGAGCUUGCUCUUGGUGGCGAGUGGCGAACGGGUGAGUAAUAUAUCGGAACGUAUCCAAUAAUGGGGGAUAACUAAUCCAAAGGUUGGCUAAUACCGCAUACGCCCUACGGGGGAAAGCAGGGGAUCUUCGGACCUUGCGUUAAUGGAGCGGCUGAUAUCUGAUUAGCUAGUAGGUGAGGUAAAGGCUCACCUAGGCUUCGAUCAGUAGCUGGUCUGAGAGGACGACCAGCCACACUGGAACUGAGACACGGUCCAGACUCCUACGGGAGGCAGCAGUGGGGAAUUUUGGACAAUGGGCGCAAGCCUGAUCCAGCAAUGCCGCGUGCAGGAAGAAGGCCUUCGGGUUGUAAACUGCUUUUGUACGGAGCGAAAAGGUCUGGGUUAAUACCCUGGGCUCAUGACGGUACCGUAAGAAUAAGCACCGGCUAAC
rnacentral:rRNA from 1 species